GGCCCCUUGGCGGAAUAGGCAGACGCAGCGGACUUAAAAUCCGCGGCUCGAAAGAGUGUUCGGGUUCGAGUCCCGAAGGGGCCA
rnacentral:tRNA from 1 species